UGUGUACUCCCUCCGUUCCAAAAUACUUGACUUCUAGUUGUCCAAAAAUGGAUGUACCUAUAUACUAAAACAUGUCUAGAUACAUAUAUAUUUUGACAAAUAGAAGGCAUGUAUUGUGCAACGGAGGGAGUAGAAU
rfam:Triticum aestivum genome assembly, contig: Triticum_aestivum_CS42_TGACv1_scaffold_407730_5BL